AGUUUGAUCAUGGCUCAGGAUGAACGCUAGCGGGAGGCUUAACACAUGCAAGUCGAGGAGUAAGACGGUAGCAAUACUGUCCUAGACCGGCGCACGGGUGAGUAACGCGUAUGCAACCUGCCCUUUACAGGGGGAUAGCCCGUAGAGAUGCGGAUUAAUACCCCAUAGACCUGUAGUUCCGCAUGGGACAGCAGGUAAAGCUGAGGCGGUAAAGGAUGGGCAUGCGUGACAUUAGCUUGUUGGUAAGGUAACGGCUUACCAAGGCUACGAUGCCUAGGGGUUCUGAGAGGAAGGUCCCCCGCACUGGUACUGAGACACGGACCAGACUCCUACGGGAGGCAGCAGUGAGGAAUAUUGGUCAAUGGGCGUAAGCCUGAACCAGCCAUCCCGCGUGCAGGAAGACGGCGCUAUGCGUUGUAAACUGCUUUUCCAGGGAAAGAAAACCCCCGACGUGUCGGGGCUUGCCGGUACCCUGGGAAUAAGCAUCGGCUAACUCCGUGCCAGCAGCCGUGGUAAUACGGAGGAUGCGAGCGUUAUCCGGAUUUAUUGGGUUUAAAGGGUGCGUAGGCGGUAUUAUAAGUCAGUGGUGAAAUGUUGCAGCUUAACUGUAGAAUUGCCAUUGAAACUGCAGUACUUGAGUUAUCUUGAAGUAGGCG
rnacentral:rRNA from 1 species